UACUGAACAUUGAAAAAACAUUACCUCACUUCUUCCUCACGUGGACUCUAUGUGCCUUUGAGACAGUCACUGGGAUUCUCCUUCUUUUAUGGAAAAAGAAACCAAGCUUUCAUCAGGAUAAUGAAGAGAAGAGUCUGGGAUCACUGCGCAGGCUGCACUGAGAAGGAAAGAGACUGGAAGCAGGAGCCCGCUGGAAAUCACCAAAGUUGUUGGUGUGGGUCAACAGGGUGGUUUCAAUGGGAUCAGAAAUGUCUGGGAUUUCAUGACUUCUGGAUGGUCAAGAAGAUUCACAAAUAUUUUUGCAAGUGACAGCUUUGAAGCCCUGAGACAGGCGGAGGUUUCAGGUAAGGGUUACGAGAACGUAUAGGACUUCUUGGGAAAUGUCCACGGCUUUAGGCAGAUUUUAAUUGGAACACGAGCAAUUCCUUUUUCUGCUGCGAUAAGUAUUGUACGUUUCUUUUUGUCUGGCAGCAACUUCCAUAGUACCAUCAGAUAAUCUCUACUAUCUAUUAAUUUAAUCUGUCACACUCUGUGCCACCAUACGUUGCUGCUUAUAUUUAGAAUCAGCUCUCUCCAAAUCCCAGGCAUAUUUCAAGCCCUACUAAGCCAGAGAAUGUGU